CAUCAUCAUUGGCGUGCCCGACAGAGGCCAGCAGCAGAAAGAUUUAUAUUUUAUCAUUUUCAUGCCUUAUUUCAUCACUAGAUCCACUUCUGAGAAGUUUUGAGUUUUCGGGAAUUUAGGAACUCAGCAAGUGGCUGCGGGGGAAGCCUGCGCCAUCUCACGGGAGGAGCUCGAGGCCUCAGCCGCCCGCUCACAGAGCCCUCUGUUCCCUCUGUCACACAGACCGCUGCAGCAACAACGACAGAGGAAAACACAGCUUUUGCCACGAGCUACUAGAGGGGACAUCUCAUUCUUUUAUCCAUGGCGAGGCAUUGUGGUGGUGUCAGCUGGCGCUGUCUCUUUUAUCACACUGGAAGCUAAUGGAAACAGCAACUGCAGGAGGUGGGGGAGAAGAUGCAGCACAAACACACACACAGAUACACACAGAGCCAUAAGAGGUUGGGGAGAUGGGGCGGGUGGGCACGCCAGGCCCCGGGGCAAGAGCUGGUUUGUGGUGAUGUUUUUCUUGCCGAGGCCCCUCCAUCAGCUUGUGUUUCUGACACUCAGUAAACCACAAGGAAGGGCUUCAGACGCAUUUCUCUCGUUCUCUUUUGAUGUUUCUGUUUUUGUUACAGUUAAUGUUUAGCUCCAUUUUAUAUAUCCCCAUGGUAGAGUUAAGCUGGAUGUCAUCCUCACUCAAAACUACUGAAGAGAGGUUUUGUUUAAUUUUACACGUCCCACCUGGCCUUAUUCUCUCUAAGCAAAAAAUAAAUCCAGCUAUAUGACA